GGCAGUUCUGUUUUCCAGUUCACCUGGAUUGGAAGGCCAGAGAAAUCAAUGGGCUGGUCCAGAUCUGUCGUACUGUUGUCAUCCUCCGAAGAGUCAAUUGAUGGUUGUCUCACCUUAAGGCCUCUCUAGAUCAGGCACUCAGUGGAUGGUUUCAACGCAAGAGUUUUACCUGCGUCUUCCCUCCUGUGCUCUCUUGUAUGGCGGUUCUAGAAAGGGCUGUGCUGGCAGCGAAUGAUCGGAAAGAUGCCCCAAACAUGUUGCUCACCCCGAAGGCAAGGAGCUCCUGUUAUAUACAGGUUUAAUCCCAGGUGCUUGUUUGGUCACUUACUUCCUUUUCUUGGAUUGUCAACCUAUUGGACAUGUAUUGGUAAUGGAAUCUUCCUGAGACCUGUUUGC